CAGAAGGUGGCGGUAAUGCGCAUUAAAAGUUGUUUGCUAAGAGCCAUUAAAAAAAUACAAAGAAGAGUUAGAACCGUUACCUGAUUCACGUCAGUCGCAAAGGAACAAGCUAGUUAACGUUAUGCCUACAAAAUGCUGUGUGGUGGGGUGCAACAACAAAAGAGACCCGAAAAUAUCCUUUUACAGGCUACCUCAGGACGAAAAAAGGUGCCAUCAGUGGCUUGCAGCCAUCAAGAGGGCAGACUGGACACCAACUGCAAACACUCGUCUAUGGUUUGAGAGUCCCACUUUGUUAAAUAUAAUUUAGCAACCAGGUGCACGUGAGCGAUGGUUGAGAGUGAGAUGUCCAUUAGGAAACCAUCAUUCUCUUCAAUGGCUCCACAAAAUUUAUACAGUAACUCUUCUGUGGUGCGCGAGGAGAGGAUCUGCAAGUAAUGAUGGCAGGCCAAUUCUGACUGUGACGUCAUCUUUGUUUCAACUGUUCCUGCAAAGGCGACCUGUUACACAGUAUCUGGGUCUGUUUUUUUAACUGAACAAGGCAUCGAUUUCGUCCAUUUUUCGAUGGACUGGAAAGAAUUGGAAAUCUUUUUUUCUUCAACAUCUUCCUGAACUGAAGUGAAUUGUGUUUCAUAACAAGAACAGAAGUUGAAUGGAAUUUAAGUACCCCAUAUUAUAACUGUAUUAUUUUCAUUAAUUGUACAGCAUCAUUUUUGUGUAUUGCUUCUCUGUCUAACAGUAAAGUUCUGACUUUUUUAUUUAUUUAAUUUUUUUGUAUUUUAAAAGUAAAACUCCAUGGACGCUUCUCAAUAUCCCUC